CCUCCCCAUUUUCAUUAGUAUUCCCGCUCCUCCCCAAAAUCAAAUUCAUAUUGGCGCUUUUGUUUCCCACCCCAAAAUUCAUCUAAAAUCACAAGUUAGCAAGAAGAUUUGGCAAAAAGAAAAGAAGAGGCAGAACCGCCGCCACUGCAUCUAGACUGCCCGAUUUGAGUGAUGGCGGCAGAAGAAAUUAAUCCUAGAUCGCUUAUGUUAAGAAUAGAAGUAGAGGCGCAAACGAGCCAAGCGGCUCGUAAGAUGCUCGAGAAAAAGUUCAAAACAAGCUGAGCCUUAUCGAGUUGAGCAUGAGCCUAAAUUAAAAGUUCUUUUAGUUAUCGAGCCCGAGCACGAGCCUGACAUGUGAAGCUCGUCAGCCUUGUCGAGCCUUGGUGUAAUAAUGAUGAAAGGAUGCAACAAAGGAGAUCUACUGUGCCGGAUUUUGGUGAUGAUUGAAUAAAAAGUAGAUAUCUGGAGAUUGUAUAUGUGAUCACAGAUGGAAAGUUGACCAAAUCAAUAGAGGUUAAGAGUACAUGAAAGCGGAUAUCAAUGGAAUUCGUGAAAUAGGGUCGAGUUUUGCGCAACCUUUAUUUUUAGGUGACAAACAAUUAUUUUAGGCGUCAAAGGACAAACAAUAUUAUUGUUAAUGUUAAAAUGUUUGUAGUAUACUUGACAAAUGAUUCUUCAAUGAGUUGUUUUGGUAUAUAUAUAUCUGUAUUUGUUUGUAUU